rnacentral:pre_miRNA from 1 species
GGUUGGUGGUGAUGAUGAUGAUGAUGAUGAUGCUGAUGAGGGUGAUUAAACAAUCACCACACCCGUCGUCGUCGUCAUCAUCAUUGUCUUCGUCA